CCCAGAAGCGGGGGAUAACACCUGGAAACAGAUGCUAAUACCGCAUAACAACUUGGACCGCAUGGUCCGAGCUUGAAAGAUGGCUUCGGCUAUCACUUUUGGAUGGUCCCGCGGCGUAUUAGCUAGAUGGUGGGGUAACGGCUCACCAUGGCAAUGAUACGUAGCCGACCUGAGAGGGUAAUCGGCCACAUUGGGACUGAGACACGGCCCAAACUAAUACGGGAGGCAGCAGUAGGGAAUCUUCCACAAUGGACGAAAGUCUGAUGGAGCAACGCCGCGUGAGUGAAGAAGGGUUUCGGCUCGUAAAACUCUGUUGUUAAAGAAGAACAUAUCUGAGAGUAACUGUUCAGGUAUUGACGGUAUUUAACCAGAAAGCCACGGCUAACUACGUGCCAGCAGCCGCGGUAAUACGUAGGUGGCAAGCGUUGUCCGGAUUUAUUG
rnacentral:rRNA from 1 species